rnacentral:rRNA from 1 species
GACGAACGCUGGCGGCGUGCUUAACACAUGCAAGUCGAACGGAAAGGCCCUGCUUUUGUGGGGUGCUCGAGUGGCGAACGGGUGAGUAACACGUGAGUAACCUGCCCUUGACUUUGGGAUAACUUCAGGAAACUGGGGCUAAUACCGGAUAGGAGCUCCUGCUGCAUGGUGGGGGUUGGAAAGUUUCGGCGGUUGGGGAUGGACUCGCGGCUUAUCAGCUUGUUGGUGGGGUAGUGGCUUACCAAGGCUUUGACGGGUAGCCGGCCUGAGAGGGUGACCGGCCACAUUUGGGACUGAGAUACGGCCCAGACUCCUACGGGAGGCAGCAGUGGGGAAUAUUGCACAAUGGGCGGAAGCCUGAUGCAGCAACGCCGCGUGCGGGAUGACGGCCUUCGGGUUGUAAACCGCUUUCGCCUGUGACGAAGCGUGAGUGACGGUAAUGGGUAAAGAAGCACCAGCUAACUACGUG